rnacentral:rRNA from 1 species
GUGCCGUGAGGUGUUGGGUUAAGUCCCGCAACGAGCGCAACCCCUGUCUUCAGUUACCAACGGGUCAUGCCGGGAACUCUGGAGAGACUGCCCAGGAGAACGGGGAGGAAGGUGGGGAUGACGUCAAGUCAGCAUGGCCUUUAUGCCUGGGGCUACACACGUGCUACAAUGGCCGGUACAAAGGGCUGCAGACCCGUAAGGGGAAGCGAAUCUCAAAAAACCGGCCUCAGUUCAGAUCGAGGUCUGCUACUCGACCUCGUGAAGGCGGAAUCGCUAGUAAUCCCGGAUCAGCACGCCGGGGUGAAUACGUUCCCGGGUCCU